GUGCCCUUUAACAUUGCUGCAGUGCUUUAAGAUGCUAACACAGAAGGGUAAAGGAACGCUCCAUGAAACCCAGACAGGAAAACUAUACGUCCUCUUUGAAUCCUGUCUGGAGCCACAGAU
ensembl:snoRNA LOC120099520 small nucleolar RNA SNORA26